CAGCCAUUACUGCUGUGUGCAAUCAAGCGUGAGCUUCAGACCAAUCACUCUCCCAAGAAUUUCGGUUCGAUCCCCAGCGGAGGCGGAAAAAAGUGAUGUAUGAUAGGAUUUCCCAUCAUUUGUGACUUACAAAUAAAGUCAUCAAAAUAGACGAGUUCUUAUCUAGCCAUGAUGAUAUAUACAGACUAGUCUGGUGCCUUGGAUGAACAUCAAAGAGAUAACAGCGUAACAGUAACAUCGACUGUCUUUAAAGUUGGGUGUUUUGCAUCUGUAACCUUCGAAGAACAGAGGAGGUGCCAACAAGGGCGCAGAGAUCGUCGCCCUUCCCGAUCUCUCCCGGAGGAGGAGCCGUCCAGGGCGCAGAGAUCGUCGCCCUUCCCGAUCUCUCCCGGAGGAGGAGCCGUCCAGGGCGCAGAGAUCGUCGCCCUUAAGUAAUCUCUUUCCAUAGGCCUCCGGUCCAUAGGAGUACGAUGUUGGGUUCCAAGACUUUAAUGGACUCCAUCCGAAGCAUGAGUGCGUUUUCCUGAAGAACCAAAAUCUAGGACCAUCCAGAAGGACCAACCUAGACCAUGAAGGACAAAAUAAAAAUCAGAAAA